UACGGAGGGGGCUAGCGUUGUUCGGAAUGACUGGGCGUAAAGCGCGCGUAGGCGGAUCAGGAAGUUGGGGGUGAAAUCCCGGGGCUCAACCCCGGAAUGGCCUUCAAAACUCCUGGUCUUGAGUUCGAGAGAGGUGAGUGGAAUUCCGAGUGUAGAGGUGAAAUUCGUAGAUAUUCGGAGGAACACCAGUGGCGAAGGCGGCUCACUGGCUCGAUACUGAUGCUGAGGUGCGAAAGCGUGGGGAGCAAACAGG
rnacentral:rRNA from 1 species